CCAAAUGAGGUUAAAGUUAAAUUUUAAAAGAAAAAAUAGUCCCGGAGACAUCCGCGAGAGGGCGCCAGCGGAUAGCGAACGAAUGUGACCUGAUAACGGAGCUGUGAUGAGGCCAAAUCCUGCCGCCCAAACUCUUAAAGAUCCAACUGUGGUGAGAGAGGAAAGAAAAGGAAAGAGGCCGAGUGUGAGGCUGAAGUCUGGGAGAUCUGAAGAAGAAGAUCGGGCGAGAGGCUGGCAGAGGAUGUUCGCCCGGGCAUGUACCUGAGAGGAGACCCGCCCCCGUCCUGCCCAAACAAAGGGGUGUGCACCAAUCUGCUGCAGGGGGAGGAGGUUGGGAGGAGGGGGUCCUGAGACAAGCUGCCAUUUCCAGCCGAUUGAACAGCCUCCGACCCUGCAGCUCGGCUCAGCCUCCACAGUCUCAUGCCCUGCAGCUGAGGGGUCUGUUCAGGAGACAAUGAUCUGAGGGUCAGGGGUCGAGAUGGCGGGGGUGUCUGAAGUCAUUUGGGAUGCUAAUGAUAUGCAGGGUUUCCACGCUAUAGGGUGUAAAAGCCUGAACAAUUAGGCUGCUGUUGUGACUUUACUGCAGGUUUCUCUCAUGAAUAAUCACUGUAAUAAGUGUGAAUGUUGCAGCCUACAAGUGAGGUGAGAUUGAAGGCAAAUAUGAGUAAAAAGAGACGCACACAAGCACAAACAGAUGUCUUUUAAAAUGUGCCUGUGAACUACCCAAUAAAUCCAUAUGUGUUUGA